CCUACGGGAGGCAGCAGUGAGGGAUAUUGCGCAAUGGGCGAAAGCCUGACGCAGCGACGCCGCGUGGGCGAGGAAGGCCUUCGGGUUGUAAAGCCCUUUUGGCAGGGGGAAAGAAGGCACCUGGGUGAAUAGCCCAAGGGCUGACGGUACCCCCAAAGGAAGCCACGGCUAACUACGUGCCAGCAGCCGCGGUAAUACGUAGGUGGCAAGCGUUGUCCGGAAUCAUUGGGCGUAAAGAGCGCGUAGGCGGCUUGCCAGGUCCGAUGUGAAAGCCUGGGGCUUAACUCCAGAACUGCAUCGGAAACCGGCUUGCUAGAGUCUGGGAGAGGGGAGUGGAAUUCCUGGUGUAGCGGUGAAAUGCGUAGAUAUCAGGAGGAACACCGGUAGCGAAGGCGGCUCCCUGGAACAGUACUGACGCUGAGGCGCGAAAGCUAGGGGAGCAAACAGGAUUAGAUACCCCUGUAGU
rnacentral:rRNA from 1 species